rnacentral:rRNA from 1 species
GACGAACGCUGGCGGCGUGCCUAAUACAUGCAAGUAGAACGCUGAAGGAGGAGCUUGCUUCUUUGGAUGAGUUGCGAACGGGUGAGUAACGCGUAGGUAACCUGCCUGGUAGCGGGGGAUAACUAUUGGAAACGAUAGCUAAUACCGCAUAAUAGCAGUUAUUGCAUGAUAACUGUUUGAAAGGUGCAAUUGCAUCACUACCAGAUGGACCUGCGUUGUAUUAGCUAGUUGGUGGGGUAACGGCUCACCAAGGCGACGAUACAUAGCCGACCUGAGAGGGUGAUCGGCCACACUGGGACUGAGACACGGCCCAGACUCCUACGGGAGGCAGCAGUAGGGAAUCUUCGGCAAUGGACGGAAGUCUGACCGAGCAACGCCGCGUGAGUGAAGAAGGUUUUCGGAUCGUAAAGCUCUGUUGUAAGAGAAGAACGAGUGUGAGAGUGGAAAGUUC